AGGGUUAUAAUUUAUAUCAAAAUAUUUGAUUUGCAUUCAAAAAAAGUAUUAUUACUUACCUU
rnacentral:tRNA from 1 species